UAGGGAAUUUUCCGCAAUGGGCGAAAGCCUGACGGAGCAACUCCGCGUGAGUGAUGAAGGUCUUCGGAUCGUAAAACUCUGUUAUUAGGGAAGAACAAAUGUGUAAGUAACUAUGCACGUCUUGACGGUACCUAAUCAGAAAGCCACGGCUAACUACGUGCCAGCAGCCGCGGUAAUACGUAGGUGGCAAGCGUUAUCCGGAAUUAUUGGGCGUAAAGCGCGCGUAGGCGGUUUUUUAAGUCUGAUGUGAAAGCCCACGGCUCAACCGUGGAGGGUCAUUGGAAACUGGAAAACUUGAGUGCAGAAGAGGAAAGUGGAAUUCCAUGUGUAGCGGUGAAAUGCGCAGAGAUAAGGGGGAACACCAGUGGCGAAGGCGACUUUCUGGUCUGUAACUGACGCUGAUGUGCGAAAGCGUGGGGAUCAAACAGG
rnacentral:rRNA from 1 species